rnacentral:rRNA from 1 species
GAUGAACGCUGGCGGCGCGCCUAACACAUGCAAGUCGAACGGUUAAAGCACCUUUUAGGUGUGUAUAAAGUGGCGAACGGCUGAGUAACACGUGGGCAACCUGCCCUCCUCUUGGGGAUAGCCUCGGGAAACCGAGGAUAAUACCCGAUACUUCAAUGUGGCCGCAUGACGACAUUGAGAAAGCUUUUGCGGGGGAGGGUGGGCCCGCGGCCUGUUAGUGUGUUGGUGGGGGAGGGGCUUACCAAGGCAAUGAUGGGUAGCUGGGUUGAGAGACCGACCAGCCAGAUUGGGACUGAGACACGGCCCAGACUCCUACGGGAGGCAGCAGUGGGGAAUCUUGCACAAUGGGCGAAAGCCUGAUGCAGCGACGCCGCGUGCGGGACGAAGGCCUUCGGGUUGUAAACCGCUUUCAGCAGGGACGAGGCGAUAAGUGACGGUACCUGCAGAAGAAGCCCCGGCUAACUACGUG